rnacentral:rRNA from 1 species
AGCGAACGCUGGCGGCAGGCUUAACACAUGCAAGUCGAGCGGGCAUCCUUGUGGUGUCAGCGGCAGACGGGUGAGUAACGCGUGGGAACGUGCCCUUCGGUUCGGAAUAACUCAGGGAAACUUGAGCUAAUACCGGAUACGUGCGAGAGCAGAAAGGUUUAUCUGCCGAAGGAUCGGCCCGCGUCUGAUUAGCUAGUUGGUGAGGUUAUGGCUCACCAAGGCGACGAUCAGUAGCUGGUCUGAGAGGAUGAUCAGCCACACUGGGACUGGGACACGGCCCAGACUCCUACGGGAGGCAGCAGUGGGGAAUAUUGGACAAUGGGGGCAACCCUGAUCCAGCCAUGCCGCGUGAGUGAUGACGGCCUUAGGGUUGUAAAGCUCUUUUCUCCGGGACGAUAAUGACGGUACCGGAGGAAUAAGCCCCGGCUAACUUCGUG